rnacentral:rRNA from 1 species
UACGUAGGGGGCGAGCGUUGUCCGGAAUCACUGGGCGUAAAGGGUGCGUAGGCGGGCUUGUCAGUCUCGGGUGAAAGGCCCCGGCUCAACCGGGGAGAUGCCUGGGAAACUGCAAGUCUUGAGGGCUGGAGAGGAUAGCGGAAUUCCCGGUGUAGCGGUGGAAUGCGUAGAGAUCGGGAAGAACACCAGUGGCGAAGGCGGCUAUCUGGACAGACCCUGACGCUGAGGCACGAAAGCUGGGGGAGCGAACAGG